rnacentral:lncRNA from 1 species
CCCUUGGUUCCUAUCUGGGAUACAGCAGAAGAACCAGCUGGCUGAUUAAGAAUGCCAAGAGAGAAGAACACCUUUCACCAGGAAUGGGAAAUCAUAGUUACUUGUGGGUACUCAGAAUCAGAGGCUUACAACUGGGGUGGAGGGGCAGUCCUCACGUCGAAUGGGCUGCUGUGGACCAUAGGCUAAAUAUCCCUGGAACCAAGAGGCAGGAAGACAGCAGUGAUGUCUAGAGAUCAGAAGGGAGGGGCAAGCCCCGGAAGCAGGACUUUGGCCAGGGGCAGCUUUGGUCCAGAUGAGCCACACUCAGGCUAAGCUCAUAGGCAUGGGGGGUGGAGAAGGUUCAUAUCACGGGAACCGGAAAUGAUUUGCUAACAGAAAAAUAUCAUGACCUUGGGGAAGGCAAGGGCACAUGGCAGUCACCCUUGUGAUGGGCUGGCUUUAAUACGUGUAAGGCAGUGAAGAUCUACAUAGUCACAGGAAUUUUGACUCGGAAUUACUGCCUUCUCUCCAUUUAGUUUCAAUCUUGAUGCUUCAGCUUAAUCAGUAUUUAGUACAUGGAGGAGGUUAAGGGACUGGAAACAAAGAAAUUAACUGACAGCUUAAGAGCAAGAGGUCCAGAGGUCCAGAGCGGCUGAGAGAACUGUGUCUCAAGCACAGAGAGAAUGUUUAAUCCUCAGAAGGAUUUGAAAGCUCCUAAAACAAACAAUGCGGGCUUACCACCCACUCAGAAUGACAGGAAGGAGUGCCUGGUGCCUGUGGAGGCUGCAGGAGGGCACCAGAUCCCUAGAACUGGAGUGACACGUGGCUGUGAGCUGCCCGUGGAAGAGGAGACACAAAGCAACAUGUUCUGGACGACUGAGGCAGCUCCUAAGGUCCCAGGCUUUGCAGCACCACAUCCUCUGCCUGAAGACUGUUUUCUCAGGCCUGAGCUGAGUUCUGAAUGCUGAAACCUCAUUGAGGAGACUAGCUAUGGAAAAAUGUAUACCAACUUCCAGACUUUUGGCUGAGACUUUUUUCUUUUAAGAAGCAGAAAAAGGCAGAUACGUAUUACUCUGAUCUACCUAUAGAUGUCACUGUUCAUUUAUGACAAAUCAUCCCCGGAGCUCAGGCAAUUACCUCGGCUAAAAUAACAAGCGUGUUUUCUGGAAAUAAAAUAACCAGCAAGUACCGAGAGAGAGGCAUUUUCUCUCGCAGGUGUCUCCAAAUCAAAGCUGAGAGCGUGGAAAUGACUACAGAGAUUCACUACUGCUCAAGAUGCAGAGAACGGGUAACUGUGGUGUGCCCAGUACACCCAAGGCUCAGGGAAGAUCUAUAUAGAGGAGGGAGAAGGAAGGAAAAAAUAAGCUGGUAUGUAUUCCGGUGAAUGCAGGAAAUUAUCACUAGAAAGUAGCUUUAACAGAAUGGAUUAGGAAAGUGAUGACCUUUUGGCAAGGACCUGUAAAUGUGGUCAAGAAAUGGGCGCACCCUGCUAGAAGAAAGCAUCCUCCUACAUUGCCUUCAAGAGCAGUUCCUCAGAAUCAACACUAGUAAAAUUCACAACCAGAGAAGGACUCAACAUUGCUGUCCACCAGUCUCUUCCAGAUAAAGGUCUCACUGUGUGCUCCACUGCUCUCCAAUUCUGCUUCAGCCCCCCAGGGCUGGGAUCGCAAAAUCCACAUAAAGGGAACGAGGCGGUACACAGCUUUCAUAAUUGCGUGCGGAGGCGUGUAAGGAGCUGUGGAAGGCGGCUGCGCACCAUUCCUGCGGGAAGCACUCUAAGCAUUCUACUUCUUCUCCUAGGAAUGGGGUUUGGAUUCAUACGGACUGUUAAACAUCACUGCCUAUCCAGGUGUCUUCUACCUGAAGUCAACUUGGACACGCCUGUCAACCUCAAGAGCCUGGCCUUAUCAUACUUGGGCACAGUGACAGUGAUAGUUUGGUGUCAGGGCUUGUCAGAAUAACAAUUACCAACUCCAUGUUCCUGCUGCUAACGUUCACCCACACAGCACUGAGACAGAGUCUACGCUUAAGAAGUGGGGUCUGGACUGAACUCACUUGGUAACCAGGAAGGAUGCCCUUGACCUUUACGUGGAUGAGGCUCUAUGUGACUUCACAGAAAUUGGUUCUACGUAAAAACUAACUAAGCAUUAUAUAAUUCUGAUAUUGUAUAUUACAGUGUCCCUGAAAUGAUCAGUAAAGUAAACUGAUACCUUGGC